UUCCAGACUCCUACGGGAGGCAGCAGUGGGGGAUAUUGCACAAUGGGGGGAACCCUGAUGCAGCGACGCCGCGUGGGUGAAGGAGUGCUUCGGCAUGUAAAGCCCUAUCGGCAGGGAAGAAGCAAGACGGUACCUGACUAAGAAGCCCCGGCUAACUACGUGCCAGCAGCCGCGGUAAUACGUAGGGGGCAAGCGUUAUCCGGAUUCACUGGGUGUAAAGGGAGCGUAGACGGCGACGCAAGUCUGGAGUGAAAGCCCGGGGCCCAACCCCGGGACUGCUCUGGAAACUGCGUCGCUGGAGUACGGGAGGGGCAGGCGGAAUUCCUGGUGUAGCGGUGAAAUGCGUAGAUAUACGGAGGAACACCAGUGGCGAAGGCGGCCUGCUGGACAUUAACUGACGCUGAGGCGCGAAAGCGUGGGGAGCAAACAGGAUUAGAUACCCGGGUAC
rnacentral:rRNA from 1 species